AUGAUGAACCGCCGGCUUGUGCAUCUGGUAGCCCGCGCCACCAUCGGCGGCCGCCAAGCCUACACGCUGCACCCCAUCGACCCAUCGACCUUCUUCCAUGACCGAAUGAAACCAAGCGGCGCGGACGAUGGAACGGCGACGAUGGAGGAAUUCCAGCCGCCCCCACCGGCCAUGACCUUCCUCGGACCCGACACGGAACCCCAAGACAUGGAUUUCAUGCCCGUCGGCGACAAGGGCGUCCUCGCCGUGGACUGCGAGGGUAGCGCCGCCCUCUACUCCGCCUCCUCGCAGACCCUGAGCACCAUCCCCAUGCUGCGCGCUCCAAAGGUUGAGCCCAUCUUUUUCCCCGUCGGUGACAGCCGCCUGUACGUCAUGGAUCGGUAA
rnacentral:rRNA from 1 species